rnacentral:rRNA from 1 species
UACGUAGGGGGCAAGCGUUGUCCGGACUUAUUGGGCGUAAAGGGCGCGUAGGCGGUUUCUUAAGUUUGAAGUGACAGUGGGUGGCUUAACUACCCAAGGCCUUUGAAAACUGGGGAACUUGAGGACCAGAGAGGGACAUAGAAUUCCGGGUGGAGUGGUGAAAUGCGUAGAUAUCCGGAGGAAUACCAAAGGCGAAGGCAGUGUCCUGGAGGGUUAACUGACGCUGAGGCGCGAAAGCUAGGGGAGCGAACAGG